rnacentral:lncRNA from 1 species
GCAAAAUCUGCAAAUGAAGCACCUAUAGUGCUGGAGGAUUUAAACUAAACCGUAGUGAUAAUGUUAGUAAUACCCGCAACUUUAUUGGUAACUUUAAUACUGUUUCCGGCGGCUUCGCCACCAUCGGUGUGCUAUCAGAAUGCCCACUGGCCUCCUUGCGUUGAUUUUAACUUUAAGAGAUGAAACCCGAGUGAGAUCCGCCGGCUGUUUAAAACCGCUCAUCCGACGGUUACCAAACUGUUGCGUCACUAAGGGCUCCCGGUCCCCCGGUUUCGCUGUCUGGAAAGAGCCGACAACACUUUACUCCCGUCUUAACUGCUCGUUUGACUCAAUUAAAGUUAUACCAUAGUUCUUGAAUGUUUACAUCUUUCCUGCAAAUGCUUGUCAAAUAAAUACUUCUACUCUGCUCUUUUCACCACUACGUUGUUAUUACAGGUUCAUAAUUACUGCCCAGUGAUUUAGAAUUUUAAAAAUAAAUGUAGUGAUUUUUAUACUGUCCGCAACCCAGCUGUUAAUGGAUCUGAGGACCAUUCCGCUAUUCAAGCGGGUCCUGAUUUACACGGUGAUUUAAGAAAUUAUUUCCUGCGCCAGUCGAUAAAAGUGAUAAAGCAGUGUGUCGCACCAGGAAUUACACCGGUAGGAGAACAGUCGGCUGGGCGAUGAUGAACUGCACUGGAGCCAAUAGCCCGGGCGUCUACCCCUCCGUCAGGUUUCACUAAGAUGACAAGCGGAGGCGCUGGCUUGCACCGAGCAAGUUGUGUGAAAGCAAUACAAAAGCGGCGAUAUGAAAACAGCCUCAGUCGGUCGCGUUACACACCCGGUCCGCAAGGGGGCGGUGCGGACAGUCGUCACUUCCUCGAAACAGCUGCAUCCUCGUGCUCCCCGGAGAGCCAAUGGGAGCGCGGAUUAUUGUUUAAAACGAGAGCCCACGGAGAGUGGCGCUUGUGUGGUGAAGCUUUGAAUUUAGUACGCUGAGAUGUCCCUGGCGAUUUAUACCGACAAGGAAAACGGCUCCCUCUCGACGCCCGCUCCCGCGAAGAACCGGGUGAGGCUACAGUCUGCUCCAGGUGAGACCCCCGCUCCGCUGUCGGGCCCUCCCGUGUUAUUCAUUGCGCAUCGAUUUCGAUUGAUAGACUACGAGGGUAACUAAUUAGAAGAAGGGUACUUGGUUUCAGAGCGUCGCUACGGCGAUAU